GAUGAACGCUGGCGGCGUGCCUAAUACAUGCAAGUCGAGCGAACGGACGAGAAGCUUGCUUCUCUGAUGUUAGCGGCGGACGGGUGAGUAACACGUGGAUAACCUACCUAUAAGACUGGGAUAACUUCGGGAAACCGGAGCUAAUACCGGAUAAUAUUUUGAACCGCAUGGUUCAAAAGUGAAAGACGGUCUUGCUGUCACUUAUAGAUGGAUCCGCGCUGCAUUAGCUAGUUGGUAAGGUAACGGCUUACCAAGGCAACGAUGCAUAGCCGACCUGAGAGGGUCAUCGGCCACACUGGAACUGAGACACGGUCCAGACUCCUACGGGAGGCAGCAGUAGGGAAUCUUCCGCAAUGGGCGAAAGCCUGACGGAGCAACGCCGCGUGAGUGAUGAAGGUCUUCGGAUCGUAAAACUCUGUUAUUAGGGAAGAACAUAUGUGUAAGUAACUGUGCACAUCUUGACGGUACCUAAUCAGAAAGCCACGGCUAACUACGUG
rnacentral:rRNA from 1 species